rnacentral:ncRNA from 1 species
CACAAACCGUUGAUUGAGAGUAAGUACAUUUGAUGGAGAUUUUUAGAGAGUUGUCGGAUGGUGCAAGACAAUAAUUAAAAUCAUUUGGAAUGGACUCAAGAGGGCAGACUGAAAUUUUAUAUAAAGUAGGUACUGACGGAAACCUUGACCGUUACAACAAGGAGUAUGUGUUAGCAUAUGUAAAGCGGGUACUAUUGUACCAAUUUGGGUGGCACCGCAGAAGUUUAUUACAGCUUUUGUCCCUUUA